UACGAAGGGGGCUAGCGUUGCUCGGAAUCACUGGGCGUAAAGGGUGCGUAGGCGGGGCUUUAAGUCCGGGGUGAAAUCCUGGAGCUCAACUCCAGAACUGCCUUUGAUACUGAGGAUCUUGAGUUCGGGAGAGGUGAGUGGAACUGCGAGUGUAGAGGUGAAAUUCGUAGAUAUUCGCAAGAACACCAGUGGCGAAGGCGGCUCACUGGCCCGAUACUGACGCUGAGGCACGAAAGCUAGGGGAGCAAACAGG
rnacentral:rRNA from 1 species